CCUACGGGUGGCAGCAGUGGGGAAUAUUGGACAAUGGGCGAAAGCCUGAUCCAGCCAUGCCGCGUGUGUGAAGAAGGCCUUCGGGUUGUAAAGCACUUUCAGUGGGGAAGAAAGCCUUGGGGCUAAUACCCUCGAGGAAGGACAUCACCCACAGAAGAAGUACCGGCUAACUCCGUGCCAGCAGCCGCGGUAAUACGGAGGGUGCGAGCGUUAAUCGGAAUUACUGGGCGUAAAGCGCGCGUAGGCGGUCUGAUAAGCCGGUUGUGAAAGCCCCGGGCUCAACCUGGGAACGGCAUCCGGAACUGUCAGGCUAGAGUGCAGGAGAGGAAGGUAGAAUUCCCGGUGUAGCGGUGAAAUGCGUAGAGAUCGGGAGGAAUACCAGUGGCGAAGGCGGCCUUCUGGACUGACACUGACGCUGAGGUGCGAAAGCGUGGGUAGCAAACAGGAUUAGAUACCCCAGUAGUC
rnacentral:rRNA from 1 species